rnacentral:lncRNA from 1 species
CUAAAAUUACAAAAAGAAAAUAAAUGAUUGUUUGUUACAUUCCCCAAAUAGGGGAAACCCAAGACUUUACAUAGUAAUAAUCUAAUAGAAAUACAGAUUGUAUAAAGUACUCUAGGGGGUGGGGUGGAAGAAUCUAGAUAAAGGUGGUAUCAUCACCAAGGCUUGAGGUGUUGGACUCCUUACUCCUUCAUUCCACUAAGAAAAGAGAACUCCUCCACAUCUUCUUUCUUCAACUUUGGGAGCUUCUCAUUACUGCACACUUAAACAUGACCUCCCCGGUCUUCUAUAUCCUAGCUAGCAUAAGAUCUUGAGAGUUAUAUCUUUUUCUCCAUAUCUAGCUUUAUUCGGACCUUUACAUAGGCCCAAGUCAAGGAUGGUAGAGACGUGAAGAUCAAAGGAGCCAAACUUUGGAGAGGCAAGUGGGCUUACUCCAAGUAGCUCUGUACUGUAGCCAGGUUUGCCUUUAAGUGCCCAAGAGAUGCAGCGGUCCACAUGGUAGGGUUAUUGGUCUCCUUACCUUUUUGGCUCUGCUUCUCUCACCUUCUACCCCUGUAUUUCUCUUUUUCUUGCUCUUUUCCUUUGAACCCUUCAUCUUUAGUGGGUUAAAGGACACAUCACACUCCUUCAAAGAGUCACCAUCCUCCUUUGGCAUAUCUACCCUCUUACAUAUCUUGGUGAUUAGAAAGGCAAGAGGUAAUAUUUUUAAGUCCCUUCCCUUAUGUAGAAAUGUUGCCACUUAUUGAUUAUCUGCAUCCCCAUAUUCAACACUAUCAUCGAUAGAGCAUAGGUCAAUAAUAUAACUAGUGAAAGGUCACUUUCAUGACAUUUCCUAAAGGAUAAAUCCUUUGGGAUGCCAAUUUUAAUCAUCUUUGACCCUCUAUUAUGAAAUGGGUACUUUUGGUUCCUUUGACACUUGUCCAUUUUACCUUGUUCUCCUGUCCUACCGACACCAAGGUCCUUUCUAGCUGUUUCAAGUUAGCCUUAUCCAUCUUUGCCUCAAAAGCUAUAGUAGGGGGGUUUGUCACCCUAAGGUAUCAUUGAUGGUGGAAGCAUUCAUUAAAAUAUUCCUCCCUCAGGUUCAGAUGAUAUGCUGGGGCGAGGACCAGUCUACUAUUGGGAGUAUGACAUAGAACUACUUGACUAUCUCUAGAUUGUACGAACGAUGGUCUCCAUAAACAACACCUAUUCAAAUGACCUCAACUGGUUGUAAAGUUUGGCAUUUCUUCAGUCAAGUCUUUUAUCAUGAAUUCUCUCUCAUGGAUGAAGCCCCUAUUACUUAACCCCUUCUUAUAACAACCACGUUAAUUAGUGUUUAAAACUCAUCAGUGUGUGGGUUGGUUGGCGAUGUUAGCAAUCCUUCACAAAAUACAUCAUAGAAAUUAGAAACCAACUUGGGAUUCUACAAAAAGGUAAGGAAUCAAAAAAUAGGAUAGAUAAAUUUCUAAGAGGCUACUACCUCACUGUUGCUGCAGUAAUGCCUUCUUCCCCAACUAAUUCUAAACCCUCCAUGAUAGAUAUUUAAAUUGUUUUUGUUAAAUUUCAAGUUUUAGGCAUAGAUCAAGCUUGAUAGAGUACUUUUGAACUCUUUUUCACUAAAUUGGGAGUGAUUAACAACCAAUACAAGCCCCAAUUGACUGAAAAUCCUUAAAGAGGAUGCCUCUUCAUCUUCAAUCCUAGUCAAGCCCCCAAAACCCCAUGAACAUUGUGAAUCUUACUUCUAGAAUGUUGUGGAGCAUUAAAAAUGUAUGAUAUUCUAGCAUGCUUCAUAAAUUCAUUCAAAAAAGAAACUAAAUUCAAACUUCAAGUUGCACUAAAAGACAAUUCGAAAAUCAACCUCUUCCCCUAAUUUCUACAAUUAUACGAUGUUAAACUCAUAAAUAAAGUAGUAAAAACAAAGUUUUACGUUAGUAGCAUCGCUGGAAAGAAUAUUACUUGAGGGAAUUAAGAGUGUUUUUUUAGAGAAUUUGAGAGUUGGGAAGUGGGGGAAAUGAAACCCACUUACCUAUAGUUGAAACUGUUGAGACACGCAAGGGCUACAAAUGUACUACUACAGUGAAAGGCUUCAUAAAAUAUUAUUUCAUCUUGAUUUUUUAUGCGUUACAAUAUUUUAUGAUGUUAUGGGUAUUUUAAAUGACCGGU